UACGGAGGGUGCAAGCGUUACUCGGAAUUACUGGGCGUAAAGCGCACGCAGGUGGCUGAGUCAGUCGAUUGUGAAAGCCCUGGGCUUAACCUGGGAAUUGCAGUCGAUACUACUCGGCUUGAGUAUGGGAGAGGGCAGUGGAAUUCUCGGUGUAGCGGUGAAAUGCGUAGAUAUCGAGAGGAACACCGGUGGCGAAGGCGGCAUCCUGGACCGGUAUUGACGCUGAGGCGCGAAAGCUAGGGGAGCAAACGGG
rnacentral:rRNA from 1 species